AACGGUCUAUACCUGCGGUACCUGCGGAAGGAUCAUUACAUGAUUUGAGGGGGCUCACGUCCCCUCAUCCAACCCACAAACCCCGAGGAACUUUUAUGUCGAGUGGUUCGGCGCUCUCUUUGAGAGCCGCCCCUCAAACGCAUCGCAGGCUUUUCGUGAAGGUCUGAUGUGUCACAUCGUGAGUAUUAAAACUUUCAACAACGGAUCUCU
rnacentral:misc_RNA from 1 species